AGUAUAUGCUUAAAAGAACUGUGAUGGCUUCAUUUUGGAAUUGAGAUUUAGGAGAUGGUUGUUUAUAAGGGGAAUGGGAAAGAAUGAGUAGUUGAGAUGUGGGUGAUAGGUGUGGGCAAUGGACAAAGUCACUAUUUCUUGAGCCAUCUUGGUGUGACUAAGAAUAGAUGGUUUCAUUCUUUUAGUGUUCCAAACCUAACCAAAUAGAUUAAGGGAUGUGGCUCGAGUAUUCAUUUGAAUAAAUUUGAAUAUUCUUAGCCUCGCUAAUAUUCAUCAUGUAGGUUGUAAAUAUUCAUGGAUUCAUAGUGCUUAACCUGAUUUUUCUUUUUUGAUUAGUGG
rnacentral:lncRNA from 1 species